rnacentral:rRNA from 1 species
AUUGAACGCUGGCGGCAGGCCUAACACAUGCAAGUCGAGCGAGCGGCGGACGGGUGAGUAAUGUCUGGGAAACUGCCUGAUGGAGGGGGAUAACUACUGGAAACGGUAGCUAAUACCGCAUACCAUCAGAUGUGCCCAGGUGGGAGUGGCUAGUAGGUGGGGUAAUGGCUCACCUAGGCGACGAUCCCUAGCUGGUCUGAGAGGAUGACCAGCCACACUGGAACUGAGACACGGUCCAGACGCCUACGGGAGGAAGCAGGGGGGAAUAUGGCACAAUGGGCGAAAGCCUGAUGCAGCCAUGCCGCGUGUGUGAAGAAGGCCUUCGGGUUGUAAAGCACUUUCAGCGGGGAGGCGUUACCCGCAGAAGAAGCACUGGCUAACUCCGUGCCAGCAGCCGCGGUAAUUC